rnacentral:rRNA from 1 species
UGGGGAAUAUUGCACAAUGGGCGCAAGCCUGAUGCAGCCAUGCCGCGUGUAUGAAGAAGGCCUUCGGGUUGUAAAGUACUUUCAGCGGGGAGGAAGGGAGUAAAGUUAAUACCUUUGCUCAUUGACGUUACCCGCAGAAGAAGCACCGGCUAACUCCGUGCCAGCAGCCGCGGUAAUACGGAGGGUGCAAGCGUUAAUCGGAAUUACUGGGCGUAAAGCGCACGCAGGCGGUUUGUUCAGUCAGAUGUGAAAGCCCCGGGCUCAACCUGGGAACUGCAUCUGAUACUGGCCAGCUUGAGUCUCGUAGAGGGGGGUAGAAUUCCAGGUGUAGCGGUGAAAUGCGUAGAGAUCUGGAGGAAUACCGGUGGCGAAGGCGGCCCCCUGGACGAAGACUGACGCUCAGGUGCGAAAGCGUGGGGAGCAAACAGG